rnacentral:lncRNA from 1 species
UCAAGUAUCCUCAACAUUCAAAAUGAUUUUCAAAUGUUUUAGUCUUUCUGCACGUUAUUGCUUAGCCUUCAUGUUUUUAGAUGCAAUGUUUAUCAAAAAUUCGGACGUUUUUUGCAAACAAAACAGUAAAAGUAAAAACAGGAGAGCAAUUUAUCUGAAUAACGACUUUUAUUGAUUGAAAACGUGCCUGAAAAGGCAGAUACAUUGGGAAGCAAUUCCUAGAAAGAGGUAAUUGCGCACAAAAGGAAAAUAAACUAUCCUAAUGGCAAUGUGAAUACGGC